rfam:Oryza glumipatula chromosome 9, whole genome shotgun sequence.
AAAAAAAAAAAACCCGGAUUUCCGUGUCCAACGUUUGACUGUUCAUCUUAUAUGAUUUUUUUUAUAAUUACUAUUUUCAUUGUUGUUAGAUGAUAAAACAUGUGCGUGACUUGUUUUUUUAAUUUUUUUCAUAAUUUUUUUUAAAUAUAAGACGGACGGUCAAACGUUGAACAUGGAAAUCAAGGGUUUGUCUUUUU